CUACGUGCCAGCAGCCGCGGUAAUACGUAGGGUGCGAGCGUUAAUCGGAAUUACUGGGCGUAAAGCGGGCGCAGACGGUUACUUAAGCAGGAUGUGAAAUCCCCGGGCUCAACCUGGGAACUGCGUUCUGAACUGGGUGACUAGAGUGUGUCAGAGGGAGGUAGAAUUCCACGUGUAGCAGUGAAAUGCGUAGAGAUGUGGAGGAAUACCGAUGGCGAAGGCAGCCUCCUGGGAUAACACUGACGUUCAUGCCCGAAAGCGUGGGUAGCAAACAGGAUUAGAUACCCUGGUAGUCCACGCCCUAAACGAUGUCGAUUAGCUGUUGGGCAGCUUGACUGCUUAGCAGCGAAGCUAACGCGUGAAAUCGACCGCCUGGGGAGUACGGUCGCAAGAUUAAAACUCAAAGGAAUUGACGGGGACCCGCACAAGCGGUGGAUGAUGUGGAUUAAUUCGAUGCAACGCGAAGAACCUUACCUGGUCUUGACAU
rnacentral:rRNA from 1 species